rnacentral:rRNA from 1 species
GGUGGGGAUGACGUCAAGUCCUCAUGGCCCUUAUGGUAGGGCUUCACACGUCAUACAAUGGUCGGUACAGAGGGCUGCCAACCGCAAGGGGAGCCAAUCCCUUAAGACCGAUCGUAGUCCGGAUUGAGGUCUGCAACUCGACCUCAUGAAGUCGGAAUCGCUAGUAAUCGCGGAUCAGCAUGUCGCGGUGAAUACGUUCCCGGGUCUU